AUUGAACGCUGGCGGCAGGCCUAACACAUGCAAGUCGAACGAGUGGCGGACGGGUGAGUAAUGUCUGGGAAACUGCCCGAUGGAGGGGGAUAACUACUGGAAACGGUAGCUAAUACCGCAUACCAUCGGAUGUGCCCAGAUGGCAUUAUCUAGUGGGUUGGGUAACGGCUCACCUAGGCGACGAUCCCUAGCUGGGCUGAGAGGAUGACCAGCCACACUGGAAAUGAACCACGGACCAGACUCCUACGGAAGGCAGGAGUGGGGAAUAUUGCACAAUGGGCGCAAGCCUGAUGCAGCCAAGCCGCGUGUAUGAAGAAGGCCUUCGGGUUGUAAAGUACUUUCAGCGCGGAGGCGUUACUCGAAGAAGAAGCAUCGGCUAACUCCGUGCCAGCCGCCGCGGUAAUUA
rnacentral:rRNA from 1 species